rnacentral:rRNA from 1 species
CCUACGGGAGGCUGCAGUGAGGAAUAUUGGUCAAUGGCCGGAAGGCUGAACCAGCCAUGCCGCGUGAAGGUCAGUGCCCUAUGGGCGUUAAACUUCUUUUGUGCGGGAGCAAUAAUGGUCACGUGUGGCCAGACGAGAGUACCGUACGAAUAAGUAUCGGCUAACUCCGUGCCAGCAGCCGCGGUAAUACGGGGGAUGCAAGCGUUAUCCGGAGUUAUUGGGUUUAAAGGGUGCGUAGGCUGUGAGGUAAGUCAGCGGUGAAAUGCCCCCGCUCAACGGGGUGAAGUGCCAUUGAUACUGCCUUGCUGGAAUGCGGAUGCCGUGGGAGGAAUGUGUGGUGUAGCGGUGAAAUGCAUAGAUAUCACACAGAACACCGAUUGCGAAGGCAGCUCACGAAUCCGCGAUUGACGCUGAUGCACGAAAGCGUGGGUAUCAAACAGGAUUAGAUACCCCUGUAGUC